rnacentral:rRNA from 1 species
CCUACGGGAGACAGCAGUGAGGAAUAUUGGUCAAUGGACGAGAGUCUGAACCAGCCAAGUAGCGUGAAGGAUGACUGCCCUAUGGGUUGUAAACUUCUUUUAUAAAGGAAUAAAACGAGGCACGUGUGCCUUUUUGCAUGUACUUUAUGAAUAAGGAUCGGCUAACUCCGUGCCAGCAGCCGCGGUAAUACGGAGGAUCCGAGCGUUAUCCGGAUUUAUUGGGUUUAAAGGGAGCGUAGAUGGGUUGUUAAGUCAGUUGUGAAAGUUUGCGGCUCAACCGUAAAAUUGCAAUUGAUACUGGCAGUCGUGAGUACAGUUGAGGUAGGCGGAAUUCGUGGUGUAGCGGUGAAAUGCUUAGAUAUCACGAAGAACCCCGAGUGCGAAGGCAGCUUACUAAACUGUGACUGACAUUGAUGCUCGAAAGUGUGGGUAUCAAACAGGAUUAGAUACCCUAGUAGUC